CUUCCCUCCGCCCUUCCUCCAUUCUCCCCUAAUUACCUUGGAACCCUAGAUCUUGGGAGGUGCCCGGUGUGGGAUGAUUGAUUCACUGCUUCCUCCCGAGCGUCUUGCCUAGCUCUGGCCGUCACUCCGCCCAGCCCUCUCUCUGGCCCCCGUCCGAGGGCAGCGGAGCUCGGCUCGGCCAGUCGGCCGGUGGCGGUGCGGAUCAAGGCGUGGAGGCGGAGCUUCUAGGAGACGCGAUGCGAACCGGGCAGCAAGAUGCGAGGCCACUGCGACCAACGGCUUCUAGGAGCUUCUGGGAGCUGGCUACGAAGGAGGUCGGGAGAGAAUCGUGUUGGUAGGGCUCACCAUCCACCGAUUGGUUCCGUCCUGGGGUGGUCGCGGCGCGGGAGGCGGCCAUCCAGAUCCGAGGUGACCGGCAAGUGAGCAGGCCCUACUGCACAGCCCGUCCCCAACGCGCAGGUGUUCGCCACCCAUCGUCGACCUCCGUUCCCCACGCUAAUGUUGUUGGCUGCGUCUUCCCAAGAGCUUGAUGAGCUCAAGGCCGACAGACCUCAUCCUUUCGGGCGUGAACUACACCAGUUUCCUGGGGGAGUUUUUCUGGAAUUCAGCUUGCUUUGGCAGUGUCUUUAUUAUGCACAUGGUAACGUUUACUUUUUCUAGGAUCCAUUGCCUUCUGAAUAGCUGAAUAAGUAAACAACAAGAUGCUAAAAGAUAUCCUAGCUUUUAUCGGUUUUAUGGAUUUCUAUUAGAUGGUACGUUGAUAAACUGGUACAUAGCAGAUUCAUUGUAUCAAAUAUUGAUGCAUGAUGAUAUGCUAGAAAGCAUCAGAAGCAGCUUUCACGUAUGUGAGGUUUAACCUCAAGGAUAUUUCUAUAUGAUUUAUACCGUUAGCUCUAUUGUUUUGACCCAUUAGCAUCUUCCAUUAUUUUAACUCACUAGCACCUUGUGUUUAGGUAAUAUAUGAUUACAUUAAGUUAGCACCUUCUAUUUGCGCCACGUGAGGUUUAGUUUAUACUUAUAUUUGAUUACAUUUAAGUUUAGCACCUUCUAUUUAGGGAAUAUAUUUUUGGUUGUCAUACUAUUUGUUGACCUAGGCAGCAAUCUCAGUCUUUUAUUCCCUACCCAGCUGUAAUAGGAUAAUGUAUGGAAUAUGCUGCUCUCAUGUUGCUGAAGCUGAGAUAGAUCACAGUUUAUUCACCUUGCACUUGGUCGCAUGACAAUUCCCUAUAUACUUACUGUAAUCCGCUUAACUUCCCGUCCUUAUGACUACAAAAAUGUUUGCGACCAUGCAUGGUUGGACUACAGCUAGAUCGCAUAAAUGCCGACAUGGAGAAAAGCCUACCGGUAAGCUAUCCUAAAUCAUGCUUCAUUUUUCAAGAAUUCCAGUGACGGCAGUUUUUGUGUUUGGCUAUUACCUUUUAUAUUGAGAAAACAAAGGGACAUGUAUUCAGCUGUUGAACAUCAGUUUUAGGCUUGAUUUACCAGAUGGACAGAAAUUUCAGAGAUUUGUUCUGUUCAUCAGAUUUUUCCUUGCUAAAUUGCUUCAUUGCUGGUAGACUUACUUUUAGAGCAUGAUAAGUACUAUACUCAAGAAACCUUCCUUGAAGGUAUACGCACCAAUAGAGUUUGGUAUGGUAUUUGAUUUGGAUUCAAAUUUCUGUUUGCCAUCUUGUGUAUCUAUGAAUCUGUGUUGUUUGCUAUAUGUGCACGCGAGAUAGUUACAGGCGUAUCACCUGUUGACACCAUUUACAUGUAAGACAAGCUGACCUCGAAAAGGAUUCUGUGGACUGUCACCCCACUGUCAGCUUCUAAUUGUCACCUCACCAUGAGAUUUAUUUUAGUGGAUCUAAGUCAAAGGCUAUCAGGACUUACAUCUAUCUUUUAAGGCGGGUUCCAAAUAACCAAAGUGCAUUGUCUUAAGCGCACAAUCUUGUGCACAAAUCAAGCUGAAUAGCGGUAAUAUUUCAGUCUAUGUGCAUACAUGUAUCCACUAAUUAUAUAAUCAUUGUCUACCAUAUAUCAAAAAUUCAAUUGUUUAGUAGCUAACUCAAGUAGACCAGGUAGUGUUCAUGUGCUGCCAUCUUGGCUUAGUACAUGAAUUUACAUAUUUUGGUUUUCAUGACAUGAACAUACGUGUGAGUUAAGUGAUCCUGAUUGUUCUGUAGUUAACUUAUGCUUCCCCGUGAUUCAUAUGGGCACGGCAAUACACCUUUAUUAUCAUCACCGUGCAUCCAUACAAGUAAUAUUUCUUGGGCUUUCACCUUUCUUAUAGACCCCUUUUGCCUCUUGCCAAAUGAGUGAACUCUUUUUUGAGUAUAAUCCUGCUCAAUGUUGCUUAGUACUUCGCUGAAAAAAGCGAGCUAUGCUUAGUAACUUAUUUGGGUGAACCUUUUUUGGGAUCCAUUUGACAUUAUCAAUUCGAUAACUUUGAUGUUAAAAGAUAGGAAUAGCUAGCUGGUGAUGUUACAUAUUAAGUUAUUAACUAUUUUUCCAGGAUUUCUUGUGUCAGAGAUUGUGAGGUUUCAAGGCUGAGGUACCUGUGAAAGAUGACAAAACUGAUGUAGCUUUUACUUUCAUAUUGACUUUUAAAAUUAUCAUCAGUUUACCUAAGCAACUCAGGCCCCAACGAAAUUGAUGUAGCUUUUACCCGAGCAAAUCAGGCUCCAGUAGGAAUGCGGGGUACACAAAUAUUUUAUGAUGUUACAAGUUUUCAGUCAGUUAGGUGCUGAUCUACCAAUUCUAUCUUUCUCAUUUAUCAGCAGUUAUUUUGUAAUUUGUUUUAGCAACAUGACCAAACUGCUUGAAUGAAGGCUGAAAGCUAGCCAUGACUAUCCAAGAUGGAACUACGAUGAGAAGUGGCUGGACAGCGAAGAAGAAUGCUAAGGUUAAAAAGAAAAGAGUAACUUCUUGGAACUAGAAGAUGGUUAGCUGUGCAAGUUGCUGCACCCUGUAAUUCUAGGACGGGAAAGCUUCACUUCUCUAGAUGUUGCGCUUCCAAAUUGAAAUUUUGCCAACAUUGAUUGAUGUAUAUAUUGGCUGGAUACUUGAUGAA